rnacentral:rRNA from 1 species
AAUUUUUGACAAUGGGCGCAAGCCUGAUCGAGCCAUACCGCGUGAGUGAAGAAGGCCUUCGGGUUNUAAAGCUCUUUCGGACGGAANGAAAUCGCGCAGGCUAAUACUCUGCGCGGAUGACGCUACCGUCAUAAGAAGCACUGGCCAACUACGUGCCAGCAGUCGCGGUAAUACGUAGGGUGCGAGCGUUAAUCGGCAUUACUGGGCGUAAAGAGUGCGCGAGCGGUUGAGUAAGAAAGGCGUGAAAUGCCCGGGCUUGACCUGGGAACUGCGAUUGUGACUGGACAGCUAGAGUACGGCAGAGGGGGGUGGAAUUCCACGUGUAGCAGUGAAAUGCGUAGAGAUGUGGAGGAACACAGAUGGCGAAGGCAGCCCCCUGGGCAGAUACUGACGCUCAUGCACGAAAGCGUGGGUAGCAAACAGG